CUCCACUAUGGCCAAGACCAAGGAGCUGUCGAAGGACACCAGAGACAAAAUUAUAGACCGGCACCAGGCCGGGAAGACAAUCUGCAAUAGGUUAAUGCUGACCCCAAAACAAUACGAAGGAUGAAGACGGAAGUCGAUGCUAACACUUUCGUGCGAAAAUUUGCAAAAAUGGCAGAGCAACAUGAUACAAAAAGCUUUGACUGAGGAGGAAAAAGAAAGGCUACCAGGACAUACAGAAUAAACAUUGUCCCGGCUUUCAUUCGCUGCUGUGAAGCCCCCACGAACCGAACUCAUCAGCACUGAAGACUUCAGCUGGGCCGCUGGGAACAGAAAUGGGUUGUUUAAUCCAUCUGCAGGUGACCAUCGUGAUUUUACGACACUAUGCGGGUGUGCGCUGGUCCUCAUGGGAAACACAGUACUGGUCUCCAUGGGAAACACAGUCUUCUUUAAGGCAAA